GGCGGGGUGGAGCAGCCUGGUAGCUCGUCGGGCUCAUAACCCGAAGGUCGUCGGUUCAAAUCCGGCCCCCGCAACCA
rnacentral:tRNA from 15 species